rnacentral:rRNA from 1 species
AUUGAACGCUGGCGGCAGGCCUAACACAUGCAAGUCGAACGGUAACAGAAAGCAGCUUGCUGCUUUGCUGACGAGUGGCGGACGGGUGAGUAAUGUCUGGGAAACUGCCUGAUGGAGGGGGAUAACUACUGGAAACGGUAGCUAAUACCGCAUAACGUCGCAAGACCAAAGAGGGGGACCUUCGGGCCUCUUGCCAUCGGAUGUGCCCAGAUGGGAUUAGCUAGUAGGUGGGGUAACGGCUCACCUAGGCGACGAUCCCUAGCUGGUCUGAGAGGAUGACCAGCCACACUGGAACUGGGACACGGUCCAGACUCCUACGGGAGGCAGCAGUGGGGAAUAUUGCACAAUGGGCGCAAGCCUGAUGCAGCCAUGCCGCGUGUAUGAAGAAGGCCUUCGGGUUGUAAAGUACUUUCAGCGGGGAGGAAGGGAGUAAAGUUAAUACCUUUGCUCAUUGACGUUACCCGCAGAAGAAGCACCGGCUAACUCCGUG